CUUCCCACAUUAGAGUUCACGUUACUUAGGUUAACGUUACUUCUAACGUAGCCAAUUUUGGCUUAGUCCAACGUUAGUGACAAAGGUGAGUGUCACUAAUGUUGGCACUUCUCUGUUCCUUCCACAUUAGAGCUCACGUUAAUGUACUUAACCUGACUCUUAACGUGGCUAGGUGUGCCCCUUUUUCCAACGUUAGUGGCAUUCACUUUUACCACUAACGUUGGAGCUUUACUUCUCUUCCACGUUAGCUUCCACGUUAACGUAGU